rnacentral:misc_RNA from 1 species
AAGUCGUAACAAGGUUUCCGUAGGUGAACCUGCGGAAGGAUCAUUACAGAGUUCAUGCCCUCCGGGGUAGACCUCCACCCUUGCAUACCUUACCUUUGUUGCUUUGGCGGUCCGCUUCACCUCGUAUGAGGCCACCGGUCUCGACUGGUGCGUGACCGCCAAAGGAUACCCAACUCUUGAAUAUACGUCGUCUGAGUACUAUAUAAUAGUUAAAA